rnacentral:rRNA from 1 species
AUUGAACGCUGGCGGCAUGCCUUACACAUGCAAGUCGAACGGCAGCACGGGUGCUUGCACCUGGUGGCGAGUGGCGAACGGGUGAGUAAUACAUCGGAACGUACCUUAUCGUGGGGGAUAACGCAGCGAAAGCUGUGCUAAUACCGCGUACGCCCUGAGGGGGAAAGCGGGGGAUCGCAAGACCUCGCGCGAUUAGAGCGGCCGAUGCCUGAUUAGCUUGUUGGUGGGGUAAAAGCCCACCAAGGCGACGAUCAGUAGCUGGUCUGAGAGGACGGUCAGCCACACUGGGACUGAGACAGGGCCCAGACUCCUACGGGAGGCAGCAGUGGGGAAUUUUGGACAAUGGGGGCAACCCUGAUCCAGCAAUGCCGCGUGAGUGAAGAAGGCCUUCGGGUUGUAAAGCUCUUUCGUCAGGGAAGAAACACCGGCUCUAACACAGUCCGGGAAUGACGGUACCUGAAGAAUAAGCACCGGCUAACUACGUGCCAGCCGCCGCCGUAA